rnacentral:rRNA from 1 species
GACGAACGCUGGCGGCACGCUUAACACAUGCAAGUCGAACGAGAACCUCGGAGCUUGCUCCGGGGGGACAGUGGCGAACGGGUGAGUAACACGUGAGGAACCUGCCCCGAAGACCGGGACAACACCGGGAAACCGGUGCUAAUACCGGAUGCCCUCGCCGGAUCGCAUGAUCCGGUGAGGAAAUGGAUUCCGCUUCGGGAUGGCCUCGCGGCCUAUCAGCUUGUUGGUGGGGUAACGGCCCACCAAGGCUUCGACGGGUAGCUGGUCUGAGAGGAUGUCCAGCCACACUGGGACUGAGACACGGCCCAGACUCCUACGGGAGGCAGCAGUGGGGAAUCUUGCGCAAUGGGCGAAAGCCUGAUCCAGCCAUGCCGCGUGUCUGAAGAAGGCCUUCGGGUUGUAAAGGACUUUUGUCAGGGAGGAAAUCCCUAGUGCUAAUAACACUGGGGGAUGACAGUACCUGAAGAAUAAGCACCGGCUAACUAC